GAAUUUCUACCGGAAAACAAAUGUUUGCCAGAACGGCGGAACUUUUCUUAAAUUUGGAAAAUCGUGGGAACAUUGGAAAUGCAAGUGCCCGGACGGAUUUUCUGGAAAACGCUGUGAGGAAAGAACACCAGAAGCAGAACAGUGCGUUGCCGAUUACUGUACCUCUUCUCCCUGUCAAAAUGGCGGAAAGUGUACUUCCAGUGCAACAACGUUCUCAUGUCAGUGUGCGCAU